UACGUAGGGCGCAAGCGUUGUCCGGAAUUAUUGGGCGUAAAGAGCUCGUAGGCGGUUUGUCGCGUCUGCUGUGAAAUCCCGAGGCUCAACCUCGGGCGUGCAGUGGGUACGGGCAGACUAGAGUGCGGUAGGGGAGACUGGAAUUCCUGGUGUAGCGGUGGAAUGCGCAGAUAUCAGGAGGAACACCGGUGGCGAAGGCGGGUCUCUGGGCCGAUACUGACGCUGAGGAGCGAAAGCGUGGGGAGCGAACAGG
rnacentral:rRNA from 1 species